GCGAUCAUACCAGGACUAAUACACCGGAUUUUAUCAAAACUUCGCAGUUAAGCGUGUUUGGACGAGAAUAGUACUAGGAUGGAUGACCUCCUGAAAAGUCCUCGUGUUGCACCA